UUGUUUGCAAUCCGCCAAAAAACCGAGAGAAGAAGAAGAAGCCGAAGCCGACUCCGAGCUGUCCGACUUCAGGCGAUCUUUUUGAGACCUCCCCCAGCUGCGAUCGGCUAUUCUCGCCUACUUUCGAGGGGAGCCGCAGCUCGUCUCAAACAAGCCUAGUGUCAGUGUUUGCGUUUGCGUCAGUGAGUGAGGGCUGCCGGUGAGCAACAACUGUUGAUCCACUUCCCCGCCCACCCCCCCACCCCAUCACUGCGCUGUGGGUGAUGUCUGGAUCCUACUGCCGGAGUUUGUACCCGUUCAGCGGGGAGCAGCACCCGCAGGGACUGAGCUUCCAUGCCGGGGACAUGAUCGAAGUGCUGCAGGCGGCGCCCGGAGGCUGGUGGCGGGGGCAGAGGGAGGGGUCAUCGGGCUGGUUCCCCUCCAGCUAUGUGCAGGUCCUGGAGAGGACAGCAUCUCUCUGUCAGCUCCCUGUGGAGGGGUUCAGAGACCCCCUGUCUCCUCAGUGGAGAUGCUACAUGUCUCCACAAGGCUGCCGAUACUACGUCAACACCACAAGCAACGAAACGACAUGGGAGAGACCGUCCAGUGCCCCUGGGACCCCAAACACCUGCCUCUGCCUCAGACCCCCCCUGCCAAUAGUAAAUGGAUUUCACUCAAGUGGUAGUCCGUUGCAUCAUGUGGAACAUUCACACAACAGUGUGGUUAGGAAAAGCAGUUCAGAGCCACAGAGCCCAGGAUCAACGUCGGCCACCAGGAAACAGAACAAGGAAACUACAGUCACGGUUAACUGUGUGACGUUCCCGUCUCUUGCAUGCAUGCAGGAGCAGCAGCUGCUGAAACCAAACGAGUGGAGCUACUGUGAUUUCUUCUGGGCUGAUAAGAAGGAUCCCCAGGGCACCAGCUGCCUCACAGGGUUUGAGGUUUUGCUGCAAAAACAGCUGAAGGGGAAACAAAUCCAGAAAGAGAUGGCAGAGUUUAUAAGAGAAAGGAUAAAGAUAGAAGAGGAGUAUGCCAAGAGUCUCUCCAAGCUCUCCCAGAUCCCUCUAGCAAGCCAGGAAGAAGGGACUGUGGGAGAGUGUUGGGCCCAGUUAAAGAAGAGUCUGGAAGACGAGGCUGAGAUUCACUUGAAGUUCUCCUCAAAGCUGCAGAGUGAGGUGGAGAAGCCUCUUCUGACAUUCCGGGAGAACUUUAAGAAGGACAUGAAGAGGUACGAACAUCACAUUGCUGACCUCCGGAAGCAGCUAGGUGGCCGCCAUGCAUCGGUGGAGAAGGCCCGUAAGGCUCUGGCUGACAGACAGAAAGAUCUGGAGCUGAAGACUCAGCAGCUGGAAAUCAAACUCAGCAACAAGAUUGAAGAGGACAUCAAGAAAGCCCGCAGGAAAUCCACACAAGCAGGUCAAAGACGGGGUCAAAGGAGACGAUCUGAUGCGCUGUGUGGACCUUUAUAACCAAUCACAGUCCAGAUGGUUCGAGGAGACGGUCACCACCAGUCUGGAGCUGGAACGGCUGGAGGUGGAGCGGGUGGAGAUGAUCCGACACCAUCUGUGUCAGUACACCGCCCUCCGACACGAGACAGACAUGUUCAACCAAAGUACGAUGGAGCGGGUGGAUCAGCUGCUGCAAAGUGUGGACCCCAUCAGAGACAGAGAGCUGUGGGUGGAGGAGAAUAAGACCGGGGAGAUCAGGCCAGUGAACGUAGAGAUCUGACCCCAGAUGCUCUUCAUAUGCACAUUCAGGGACUGGCUCCAUCAUGCCUGAGGACCCUCCUGUGACCCCCAACACAGCAGACUGCUUAGGAUGAACCAAGAUAGGGACACCUGUAACUGUCAUGCAGCAGUGUGUGUGCUUCUACUCUGUGGGGUCAUUCUUUCUUUCACUUGUGUGUCAACGUACACCUGAAAGUUGUUGCCAAAAAAUAAUUUAACAUUAGCUGCUAAGCCAAAUGCAUUCUGACCUAAGAGUGAUAUUUCUAUGUACCAGAACUAGACAUUAGUAUCUUAAAUGACAGAAUUGUUGGCUUGUGUGAGCGAAUACUAAAGCUUAAACUCAGGCACCAUUCCUUACAUAUUCUUGAAAAAAGACACCAACAACCAUUAUUGUAGAGUAUUGCUCUUUUCUUUGUAUGUGUUGAGAAGUCCAAGGCUUCUUUCAUCUUUAAAAUAAGUAUGAAAUAUUACGUUUCAUUUCCACCAGUGUUUUUCUUAAUUGCCAAUUGCACUUUAAACCUAAAUAUUUCUUAAUAAAUGUACUUUAAAUUGCUGUUUAUAUGAACAGUUAUCUAAAGAGAAUUUUCUUGUUAAACAUUUGAUAACCCAUCGCAGGAGGGGCCUGUAUGGGGUUUAGAGGGAGACUAGUGUACGAUAUGGGAUGUGUUUUUGCAAUGAAAGGAGGCAGAAAAGCAAAAUGAUGUAAAAUACUAAUAGUAAAUAGUUUUAAACAAAAACAUAUAAUAUAGAAAUAUCUGGGACUGUUUAUUGCCAAAUGGAACAUACAUAUUAAUUCAAAUAACACCCUCAUUUAUAUUCUACUUUUUUAACCACCUCUUCUCCAGUAUUAUUGCCUAUAAUUACUACUUUUGAGAGAAGUACUUAAGGGCUGAAGGUUUGCAUUUAUUAUAAAUAAAAUAAAUAUAUGUUAAAACAU